rnacentral:lncRNA from 1 species
AUGUCUAAUAAGGAAGUUGAGGAGGAAAGAAGGCUAUAUCAGUGUGCAAGGAAUUAUGAAAAAAUUGUAAAACAGGUAGAGUGUGCAACGUAGUAUGUUUACUUUUACCAACUGGAUUUACCAUUCCCUAAUUUAAAUUUAACCAUGUUUGAAAAUCAAAAUUACUGAGAUAAGUUAGCCUGGAAAUCAUAAUGCAUCCCAACCCCUUACUUAGAACAUUGUUUCUUUCUUUAUUUCUUUUUGGAAUGACAUUUUGUUCCAACUUAUACACAAAUUGAUUAGGAAACUUGGGUUUGAUUUCUGUUCUUCAGUUUGAUGAGCUGAUUGAGAUGAUGAACACCCGGAGCAGACUGCCGAAGCGACGAAAGGUAUCUUCCGGUAACAUCUCUUACAUAAUUCCAUCUUCAUCUUUAAAUCUCACGUAUGUGCAUGCAAUUCACAGAAUUCUACAACUGCUGCCCCUGCCCCGGCAAGUCAACAUGAGGACAAUGAAGUGUUUGCACAGACAAUAACAAGAUUUCUCCAGGACCUGAGAACCAACCCUGCAGAACCUGACUGCUCCACAGCCCCCGGAGAUGGAAAUUAG